rnacentral:pre_miRNA from 1 species
AUGUCACCAGCAAUUUAAAAUCGCUACAUUUUGUUCGGUAUACGAUAAAUAUCAGACCCAUAUAAAGCCGUACAUUGAUCAAACAAGCAGUCAAAAAUGGGAUGAUUACUCAUUUAAAUUGUAUUGGAACAACUGGUAUGGA